rnacentral:rRNA from 2 species
UCGUAGUGACCUGCGGAAGGAUCAUUAUCGAAUAAACUUGAACAGGCUGCUGCUGGCCUCCUCAUUUGAGGGGUGUAAUGUGCACGCUUGUCAUCUUUAUCAUCUCUCCAACUGUGCACAUAUUGUAGACCUGGAAGAAAGCUUUUGAAUUCAUUUUCGAGUUGGGACUGCUGUGCUUUUGAUCAAAGUCGGCUUUGCCUUGAAAUUUCCAGGUCUAUGUCAUUUUCACAACCUCUUGAUAUGUUUAGAAUGUUGAACCAUAUAAAAAAAUAUACAACUUUCAGCAACGGAUCUCUUGGCUCUCGCAUCGAUGAAGAACGCAGCGAAAUGCGAUAAGUAAUGUGAAUUGCAGAAUUCAGUGAAUCAUCGAAUCUUUGAACGCAUCUUGCGCUCCUUGGUAUUCCGAGGAGCAUGCCUGUUUGAGUGUCAUUUAACUUCUCUCAACUGCAUCACUCAGUCUGAUGUGGCUUGGACGUGGGGCUUGCAGGCUUUGAAUGAAGUCUGCUCCCCUGAAAUGAAUUAGUGGUAUCUGAGCUGCCAAUAGGUGUGAUAAUUAUUUACUCCUUUUGGUCAUGCUGGUUGUGCUGCUUCUAACAAACACUUGUUUGACAAAUUUGACCUCAAAUCAGGUAGGACUACCCGCUGAACUUAAGCAUAU